rnacentral:rRNA from 1 species
GAUGAACGCUGGCGGCGUGCUUAACACAUGCAAGUCGAGCGAGAAACUACAUGCAGACACUUCGGUAGAAGCGAGUAGCGGAAAGCGGCGGACGGGUGAGUAACGCGUAGGCAACCUGCCCUUCACAGGGGUAUAGCCUCGGGAAACCGGGAUUAAAACCACAUAAAAUCAUAGGUUCGCAUGAACCAAAGGUCAAAGAUUUAUCGGUGAAGGAUGGGCCUGCGUCUGAUUAGCUGGUUGGUAGGGUAAAAGCCUACCAAGGCGACGAUCAGUAGCCGACCUGAGAGGGUGAUCGGCCACAUUGGAACUGAGACACGGUCCAAACUCCUACGGGAGGCAGCAGUGGGGGAUAUUGCACAAUGGGGGAAACCCUGAUGCAGCAACGCCGCGUGAGGUAUGAAGGCCUUUGGGUUGUAAGCCUCUGUCCUAGGGGAAGAAAAAAAUGACGUACCCGAGGA